ACGCUCGACACCUACGGGAGGCAGCAGUGGGGAAUAUUGCACAAUGGGGGAAACCCUGAUGCAGCGACGCCGCGUGAAGGAAGAAGUAUUUCGGUAUGUAAACUUCUAUCAGCAGGGAAGAAAAUGACGGUACCUGACUAAGAAGCCCCGGCUAACUACGUACCAGCAGCCGCGGUAAUCUGAGCGGGCUGGCAAGGC
rnacentral:rRNA from 1 species